GUUAUUGUAAUGGGGAAGUCUUUAGGACCCAGGGGACCCAAUGGAGGGUAUAAAAGAGGAAGUAGCAGCAGGUGCUCUUCAUUUCCACUGACGAGCGGCUGUGAACAAUGGUUGUGUGAGUAGGUGAAGAGCCUGAGAAGUUUUAAUUGUCUGCUACACAAAAAGUUGUUUUAAACCUCUACAGCAGAGGUUCGAGGUACAGGCUGUUUUUCUUUUAGUGUUUUUUUUAUUUUUUUUAUUUGUUGAAAUGUAUUUGAUGUUUAUUGUAUUUUAUGUUUUAGUAGUGAUUUUUACAAGAUAAGCCAAGAUAAGCCAGGUGUGCAGCAAACACAGUUGUCUGCUGGAGCCCAAAGAUUAAAAGAAUUGGGAGAUUUCAACAGUACGAACCAGGCACCAUGGACCCUGCGGCACUCAAUCCGUCCGAGGAGCUCCAGGAUGACAUCAGCU
ensembl:lncRNA